GAGGAACAGGGUGCUUGCACCUUGUAACCGAGUGGCGGACGGGUGAGUAACACGUGAUCAACCUGUCUUUGGGAGGGGGACAACCUGGGGAAACCCGGGCUAAUACCGCAUAUCGUCCUAGGGUCGCAUGGCCCAUGGAUAAAAGGGGGCCUCUGCUUGCAAGCUCUCACCCGAAGAGGGGAUCGCGACGUAUCAGCUUGUUGGUGAGGUAACGGCUCACCAAGGCUUCGACGCGUAGCGGGUCUAAGAGGACGACCCGUCACAUUGGGACUGAGAUACGGCCCAGACUCCUACGGGAGGCAGCAGUGGGGAAUAUUGCGCAAUGGCCGAAAGGUUGACGCAGCGACGCCGCGUGUGGGACGAAGCCCUUCGGGGUGUAAACCACUGUCAGGGGGAAAGAACACUGGAGGUGUGAAUAGCGCUUCCAGCUGACGGUACCCCCAGAGGAAGCGCCGGCUAACUCCGUGCCAGCAGCCGCGGUAAGACGGGGGGCGCAAGCGUUGUUCGGAAUUACUGGGCGUAAGGGCGGGCAGGCGGUCUGCUCAGUCUUCUGUGAAAAUCCGGGGCUCAACCCCGCGAAAUGCAGAAGAUACUGGCAGACUAGAGACCGGUAGAGGCUAGCGGAAUUCCUGGUGUAGCGGUGGAAUGCGUAGAUAUCAGGAAGAACACCUGUGGCGAAGGCGGCUAGCUGGGCCGGAUCUGACGCUCAUCCGCGAAAGCGUGGGGAGCAAACAGGAUUAGAUACCCU
rnacentral:rRNA from 1 species